rnacentral:rRNA from 1 species
UACGUAGGGUGCAAGCGUUAAUCGGAAUUACUGGGCGUAAAGCGUGCGCAGGCGGUUCUAUAAGACAGAUGUGAAAUCCCCGGGCUCAACCUGGGAACUGCAUUUGUGACUGAAGAGCCUGAGUACGGGAGAGGUGAGUGGAAUUCCCAGUGUAGAGGUGAAAUUCGUAGAUAUUGGGAAGAACACCGGUGGCGAAGGCGGCUCACUGGCCCGUUACUGACGCUCAGGCGCGACAGCGUGGGGAUCAAACAGG